rnacentral:tRNA from 1 species
GGAGAGAUGGCUGAGUGGUUGAUAGCUCCGGUCUUGAAAACCGGUAUAGUUUUUAAGAAAGAACUAUCGAGGGUUCGAAUCCCUCUCUCUCCU